AACCGGUUCUCAUCAAUGCUCGUCAAACAGCCGGUGUUUGGUACAAAGUCAGGGCCUCACCUGCCAGUGUGCCCAUGGCUUCUCUGGGCCAACAUGCACAAGUUGGCAUGGUAACAUUGGCCAGUGCCAGGGUAACGAGUACAUUGUGGUGUUGCCGGAUUACUCAGUGUAUGCCGAGAAGAGAACGGCGGAACAGGCAACAGCGGCGUGCUCCGCUUACGGACUCUACUUGCCACCGAGCAAAAGCGUGUGUCUCCUCUCCGCACUUGCUGCCUUCGCUCAAAACGACAGUCAUGAAAGUUUCUUCAUGAACAAUGCCAGGACUCUGGUUUAUUACCAUGGCUACCAAACCAGCCCGACUGGUCCUCAAGACAAAGGACGGUUUGUCUGUUCAGCUGACGUCUCCAGAAAGAAAAUCGUCUCUAACAUCUGCAAUGAUGUAAUGUACUACGUUCCGAGAAUAGCCUCUUCGACUUUGCCAUCUGCCAUGCAAUGGACUACUGCUAAGUUAGCUUGC